rnacentral:rRNA from 1 species
CCUACGGGAGGCAGCAGUGAGGAAUAUUGGUCAAUGGACGCAAGUCUCAACCAGCCACGCCGCGUGCAGGAAGACGGCUCUCUGAGUUGUAAACUGCGUUUGUACGAGGGUAAACGCAGAUACGCGUAUCUGUCUGAAAGUAUCGUACGUAUAAGGAUCGGCUAACGCCGGGCCAGCCGCGGCGGUAAUACGGAGGAUUCGAGCGUUAUCCGGAUUUAUUGGGUUGAACGGAUGCGUAGGCUGUCGGGUAAGUUAGAGGUGAAAUCCCGAGGCUCAACUUCGGAAUUGCCUCUGAUACUGUUCGGCUAGAGAGUAGGUGCGGUAGGCGGAAUGCAUGGUGUAGCGGUGAAAUGCGUAGAGAUCAUACAGAACACCGAUUGCGAAGGCAGCUUACCGAGCUACUUCUGACGUUGAGGCACGAAAGCGUGGGGAGCAAACAGGAUUAGAUACCCUAGUAGUC